rnacentral:rRNA from 1 species
GUUAUAUGGUCAAGUGAAGAAGCGCAUACGGUGGAUGCCUUGGCAGUCAGAGGCGAUGAAAGACGUGGUAGCCUGCGAAAAGCUUCGGGGAGUCGGCAAACAGACUUUGAUCCGGAGAUGUCUGAAUGGGGGAACCCAGCCAUCAUAAGAUGGUUAUCUUGUACUGAAUACAUAGGUGCAAGAGGCGAACCAGGGGAACUGAAACAUCUAAGUACCCUGAGGAAAAGAAAUCAACCGAGAUUCCCUUAGUAGUGGCGAGCGAACGGGGACUAGCCCUUAAGUGGCUUUGAGAUUAGCGGAACGCUCUGGAAAGUGCGGCCAUAGUGGGUGAUAGCCCUGUACGCGAAAAUCUCUUAGUCAUGAAAUCGAGUAGGACGGAGCACGAGAAACUUUGUCUGAAUAUGGGGGGACCAUCCUCCAAGGCUAAAUACUACUGACUGACCGAUAGUGAACUAGUACCGUGAGGGAAAGGCGAAAAGAACCCCGGAGAGGGGAGUGAAAUAGAUCCUGAAACCGUAUGCGUACAAGCAGUGGGAGCCCACUUUGUUGGGUGACUGCGUACCUUUUGUAUAAUGGGUCAGCGACUUAUUUUCAGUGGCGAGCUUAACCGAAUAGGGGAGGCGUAGCGAAAGCGAGUCUUAAUAGGGCGUCUAGUCGCUGGGAAUAGACCCGAAACCGGGCGAUCUAUCCAUGGGCAGGUUGAAGGUUAGGUAACACUGACUGGAGGACCGAACCGACUACCGUUGAAAAGUUAGCGGAUGACCUGUGGAUCGGAGUGAAAGGCUAAUCAAGCUCGGAGAUAGCUGGUUCUCCUCGAAAGCUAUUUAGGUAGCGCCUCAUGUAUCACUGUAGGGGGUAGAGCACUGUUUCGGCUAGGGGGUCAUCCCGACUUACCAAACCGAUGCAAACUCCGAAUACCUACAAGUGCCGAGCAUGGGAGACACACGGCGGGUGCUAACGUCCGUCGUGAAAAGGGAAACAACCCAGACCGUCAGCUAAGGUCCCAAAGUUAUGGUUAAGUGGGAAACGAUGUGGGAAGGCUUAGACAGCUAGGAGGUUGGCUUAGAAGCAGCCACCCUUUAAAGAAAGCGUAAUAGCUCACUAGUCGAGUCGGCCUGCGCGGAAGAUGUAACGGGGCUCAAACCAUACACCGAAGCUACGGGUAUCACUUAGGUGAUGCGGUAGAGGAGCGUUCUGUAAGCCUGUGAAGGUGAGUUGAGAAGCUUGCUGGAGGUAUCAGAAGUGCGAAUGCUGACAUGAGUAACGACAAUGGGUGUGAAAAACACCCACGCCGAAAGACCAAGGUUUCCUGCGCAACGUUAAUCGACGCAGGGUUAGUCGGUCCCUAAGGCGAGGCUGAAAAGCGUAGUCGAUGGAAAACAGGUUAAUAUUCCUGUACUUCUGGUUAUUGCGAUGGAGGGACGGAGAAGGCUAGGCCAGCUUGGCGUUGGUUGUCCAAGUUUAAGGUGGUAGGCUGAGAUCUUAGGUAAAUCCGGGAUCUUAAGGCCGAGAGCUGAUGACGAGUGUUCUUUUAGAACACGAAGUGGUUGAUGCCAUGCUUCCAAGAAAAGCUUCUAAGCUUCAGGUAACCAGGAACCGUACCCCAAACCGACACAGGUGGUUGGGUAGAGAAUACCAAGGCGCUUGAGAGAACUCGGGUGAAGGAACUAGGCAAAAUGGCACCGUAACUUCGGGAGAAGGUGCGCCGGUGAGGGUGAAGCAUUUACUGCGUAAGCCCACGCCGGUCGAAGAUACCAGGCCGCUGCGACUGUUUAUUAAAAACACAGCACUCUGCAAACACGAAAGUGGACGUAUAGGGUGUGACGCCUGCCCGGUGCCGGAAGGUUAAUUGAUGGGGUUAGCUAACGCGAAGCUCUUGAUCGAAGCCCCGGUAAACGGCGGCCGUAACUAUAACGGUCCUAAGGUAGCGAAAUUCCUUGUCGGGUAAGUUCCGACCUGCACGAAUGGCGUAACGAUGGCGGCGCUGUCUCCACCCGAGACUCAGUGAAAUUGAAAUCGCUGUGAAGAUGCAGUGUAUCCGCGGCUAGACGGAAAGACCCCGUGAACCUUUACUAUAGCUUUGCACUGGACUUUGAAUUUGCUUGUGUAGGAUAGGUGGGAGGCUUUGAAGCGUGGACGCCAGUUCGCGUGGAGCCAACCUUGAAAUACCACCCUGGCAACUUUGAGGUUCUAACUCAGGUCCGUUAUCCGGAUCGAGGACAGUGUAUGGUGGGUAGUUUGACUGGGGCGGUCUCCUCCUAAAGAGUAACGGAGGAGUACGAAGGUGCGCUCAGACCGGUCGGAAAUCGGUCGUAGAGUAUAAAGGCAAAAGCGCGCUUGACUGCGAGACAGACACGUCGAGCAGGUACGAAAGUAGGUCUUAGUGAUCCGGUGGUUCUGUAUGGAAGGGCCAUCGCUCAACGGAUAAAAGGUACUCCGGGGAUAACAGGCUGAUACCGCCCAAGAGUUCAUAUCGACGGCGGUGUUUGGCACCUCGAUGUCGGCUCAUCACAUCCUGGGGCUGAAGCCGGUCCCAAGGGUAUGGCUGUUCGCCAUUUAAAGUGGUACGCGAGCUGGGUUUAGAACGUCGUGAGACAGUUCGGUCCCUAUCUGCCGUGGACGUUUGAGAUUUGAGAGGGGCUGCUCCUAGUACGAGAGGACCGGAGUGGACGAACCUCUGGUGUUCCGGUUGUCACGCCAGUGGCAUUGCCGGGUAGCUAUGUUCGGAAAAGAUAACCGCUGAAAGCAUCUAAGCGGGAAACUUGCCUCAAGAUGAGAUCUCACUGGGACCUUGAGUCCCCUGAAGGGCCGUCGAAGACUACGACGUUGAUAGGUUGGGUGUGUAAGCGCUGUGAGGCGUUGAGCUAACCAAUACUAAUUGCCCGUGAGGCUUGACCAUAUAACACCCAAGCAAUU